UCCUUUAGGUUUGAUUUUUGCAUUAAUUAAAUGGAAGAGUUUUGGAGUGGGAUAUGGUAAGAAAAUCGGGCGAUGCCGAAAAUUCCUGUUAAGGCCAUUAAUGAAAAUAUAUUCACUUUCCAUAUUCAUAUAAUCUUCAUGGAAAUAUCUUUUUGACGAGGGUGAUCGGUUUGUGCGGUUUUUGCUUACCAUGCUUUUGUUUGUUUAUUUUUGUAUUUAUUUUUUCUGGCCCUUGUGAUGUGGGUUUGUGUAAUGAGUUUUUUAUUUUUUUUAUUUUUAAGUUAAAGUUUGCUUCAGCUACUCAAGAAAUUGUUGAAACCAGUGAGAGUGAAUCAGGGUUUGUUGAAGUUGGGUAUAUAAGCAAUGCUCAUGGGCUUCAAGGGGAGAUUACUGUAUAAACCAACACUGAUUUUCCUGAAUUUCGACUUUCCAAGCCUGGAAGAAGAUGGCUGAGACAGCGGGUUUCAGGAAGAGAAACAAUUCAGGAAGUUGAGCUGGUUGAAGGAAGAGAUCAUCCUGGACAAAAGAAUUGGAUAGUUAGUUCACUGGCAUUGACACAGUAGACCUGGUUUGACAGAUGAAGGGGUGUACAUGGGAUUUGGAAUCAGGGAGAGUUUGAUUAGAUCUUGUACUGUCAUCGUUUCAUAGUGGAUUUUUCUCCAGGUGCACGCUCCGUGGAUGUAGGCAAUCUUACCGAAUCACGCUAAACGACUUGUUGGCUUAACUGUACUUGUUGAGGAAGAGGGCGAGUUUUACAGUCGAGAUCUCGUUGGCAUGAGAGUUAUUCUCCUGGAAACUGGUGAACUAGUGGGAAUUGUAGUCAAUGUCUUCAAUACUGGAGCAAAUGAUCUUUUACAGGGUAUGCUUGAUUCAUCAAGAGUAAUGCCUGAUGAAACUGGAAUGCCAAGACUAGGAACUGAUGUUUCUGAUUCCCUUGCAUGGGUACCAUUUGUUGAAGCAAUUGUUCCUAUUGUUGACAUGGACAGAAGAGAAAUGCAGAUUACCCUUCCAAAGGGACUCCUUGAAUUAAAUUACGGUCUGAUAUGGGGUCCAAGAAAGAAA